CCGAGUUUACAACUCCCAAACCCAAUGUGAACGUUACCAAACUGUUGCCUCGGCGGGAUCUCUGCCCCGGGUGCGUCGCAGCCCCGGACCAAGGCGCCCGCCGGAGGACCAACCAAAACUCUUAUUGUAUACCCCCUCGCGGGUUUUUUUUAUAAUCUGAGCCUUCUCGGCGCCUCUCGUAGGCGUUUCGAAAAUGAAUCAAAACUUUCAACAACGGAUCUCUUGGUUCUGGCAUCGAUGAAGAACGCAGCGAAAUGCGAUAAGUAAUGUGAAUUGCAGAAUUCAGUGAAUCAUCGAAUCUUUGAACGCACAUUGCGCCCGCCAGUAUUCUGGCGGGCAUGCCUGUCCGAGCGUCAUUUCAACCCUCGAACCCCUCCGGGGGGUCGGCGUUGGGGAUCGGCCCUGCCUUGGCGGUGGCCGUCUCCGAAAUACAGUGGCGGUCUCGCCGCAGCCUCUCCUGCGCAGUAGUUUGCACACUCGCAUCGGGAGCGCGGCGCGUCCACAGCCGUUAAACACCCAACUUCUGAAAUGUUGACCUCGGAUCAGGUAGGAAUACCCGCUGAACUUAAGCAUAUCAAA
rnacentral:rRNA from 1 species